ACGACGGCACUGUUGCCAGAUUUCUUUUAGCGGGAAUUUUAAAAUUUGGUUUUAAAUUUGACAGUUCUGUUUUCUCAACUCAAAAAUCUUAACCUUACUUUUACAAUUGGUUAGGAUUAUUAUGUAUUUUAUUUACAUGUAAAUAUUGAAACAAAUAAUAUUGUACUGUUUCAUAAUUUAAAACUCAUUAUGUUACAGUCUUUUCCAGUUGAUAAAAUUGCAAAUCAAAAACUUUUAGAUUUUACUGUGUGGAGGCACAGGAAGAAUACAAGAGUACUUACAAGAACAUGAAACAUCUUAUUAUGAAUGUAUGCGAUCCUCAAAAAAUUAUUCUACAAAACAAGAUCGAGAAAGAGCUUUAAAAUCCCAAGGAUCCUGCAAAAUGUUUAUUUCCUGUACUAGUCGAAGAAUAAUAGUAUCUAAAAACAAUGAAACUGAUUGUUGUGGAGUAACAUAUUUUAAAACACAUUAUGAGAUGAGGAUGAUAUAGAUUACUUACAUAUACCAAAAUCAGAUAAAUAUCUCUUCAAAGUUUAUUUUGAGAGUUUUUUCAAAAAUUGCACUUCAGACUAUUCAGGAUAGCAUAGGAGGUGAAUUAAAAAUAAUUGAUUUACUUACAAGAAAAGAUAUCACAGACAUUAAACACCCUUGUGGCAUUGAUUUGAAAGAUGGAUAUAGGUACAAACAUGACGCAACCAGUGUUCAUUUUUGGGUCGAAUGCUUACAGACUACGUCAUGUCCAAUAUUAUUUUACAAACAACAGGGCAUACUAAUGGAUAUUCAUCCUGAAUUUAACAUUUAUGAUUUUUGUCUUAUUUUCAUGAAUGCUGUGCCAAAAUGAAAUGUUAAUUAAGUUUGGUAAAUCUUUUAUCGCAAUAGAUGGAACUCAUGAACUCAUUUCUUAUGACUUUGAACGUACGACAGUAUUAGUAAAAAAUGCAUUUAGGAAUGGAUUUCGUAAUGCUUUCUUAUUUUCAAAUAGAAAAGAUACCUACUUUUAUUUACAAAGUUUUUUUUAAAUACAUGUUUGUGAUGGUGUUAGCGCUUGUUCACAAUGGACGUAACCAUAAGAUGAACGUAAACCGUUAUAAUUUCGUA